rnacentral:lncRNA from 11 species
UGUGCUUUGGCAAGAAGCCGCAUAGCAGUAAAAGAGUUGUGUGGUUUUGUCAUUGCUAUUUAUUGGAGUGAGCCUGGGAAAAUCACAAGAAGGGAAAGGUAAGCCUCUUCUGGACAAAUCAUGCCAAGAAAACCC